rnacentral:sRNA from 1 species
AUACUCUCCGGGUCCUCGCUGGCGGUGGGCGGGCCAGGGAGGACAAGCACUGGAGAAGGUGCCAGGGACUGGGCCAGCUGAAGGGCCAGAAAGAAUGCUGGGAGUAUAGAGAAGCCAUUUCUUGCCACCAGACCUGGGACACUCCAGCAAAAGGAAGGAAUUUUCCCUUCAGUUGACGCCUGACCCCAAAUCCCACACCAGUUAUCCUAUUGAAAGAGGGGACUGAUAGCUCCCAAGGCAUCCCCCAGCUUGUGAGUAACAUCAGUGCCUGCCAGGUGAUUGCUGAGGCUGUAAGAACUACCCUGGGUCCCCGUGGCAUGGACAAGCUUAUUGUAGAUGGCAGAGGCAAAGCAACAAUUUCUAAUGAUGGGGCCACAAUUCUGAAACUUCUUGAUGUUGUCCAUCCUGCAGCAAAGACUUUGGUAGACAUUGCCAAAUCCCAAGAUGCUGAGGUGGGUGAUGGCACCACCUCAGUGACCUUGCUGGCUGCAGAGUUUCUGAAGCAGGUGAAACCCUAUGUGGAGGAAGGUU